rnacentral:rRNA from 1 species
ACGAACGCUGGCGGCAAGCCUAACACAUGCAAGUCGAACGCCCGUGGCAACACGGGAGUGGCGGACGGGUUAGUAACGCGUGGGAACGUACCCAGCAGUAUGGAAUAACCGCGGGAAACUGCGGCUAAUACCGUAUACGCCCUUCGGGGGAAAGAUUUAUCGCUGUUGGAUCGGCCCGCGUCCGAUUAGCUAGUUGGCGAGGUAACGGCUCACCAAGGCUAUGAUCGGUAGCUGGUCUGAGAGGACGAUCAGCCACACUGGGACUGAGACACGGCCCAGACUCCUACGGGAGGCAGCAGUGGGGAGUAUUGGACAAUGGGGGCAACCCUGAUCCAGCUAUGCCGCGUGGGUGAUGAAGGCCUUCGGGUUGUAAAGCCCUUUUGGCGGGGACGAUAAUGACGGUACCCGCAGAAUAAGCCCCGGCUAACUUCGU